AACAAAAACAUGUCCUUUAGAAUAGAAUUUAAGGUUUGACCUGCCCAUUGAGGGAUUGAAUGGCCGCAGUAUUUUGACUGUGCAAAGGUAGCAUAAUCAUUAGUUUUUUAAUUGAAAGCUUGUAUGAAUGGUUGGACGAGAUAUAUACUGUCUUUAAAUUAGUAAUAGAAUUUAAUUUUUAAGUUAAAAAGCUUAAAUAUUUAUAAAAGACGAGAAGACCCUAUAAAUCUUAAUAUUUUUUUAUUUAUAAUUUUUUUGGAUAAUUAAUUUUUAUAAAUGAAAAUUUAUUUUAUUGGGGUAAUAAAAAGAUUAGGGAAAUUCUUUUAUUUUAAACAUUGAUUAGUGAUUUUAAUGAUCCAUUAUUAUUGAUUAUAAGAUUAAGUUACUUUAGGGAUAACAGCGUAAUUUUUUUUGAGAGUUCUUAUCAAUAAAAAAGUUUGCGACCUCGAUGUUG
rnacentral:rRNA from 1 species